AAACAAUUGAAUUAGUAUUAGACCGAGACUCCUAUAUGUUAUAUAUUUAUAUAUAACUUAAUGUAAUAAUAUUAAAUCACGUCCGCCAUCAAGGACAUGUCCAGAUACAUCAUAACCGUAAGAUCUACCGUAUCUUUAUAGGUGAACUUAAAUAGAUUGACUGUAUUUUUAUGAAUCGCCUUAAAUAUAUCAGUGGGGCACAUCCAACAUUCUCCCACUUGGCCUAAAAAUAUAUUCAUUACCGUAUAGGGGAUACAAAACUUUAUUAGGUACCAACUAAGUUAUACAGUCAAAAUCUCCCACUCGACUAAGAAAUCACAAUACUUUGAUCACACCGGUUAUGCCCCAAAAUAUUAACACUUCCUUCCAUGUAUCAAAAACACGAAUUCCUUAAUCAAAUAACUUUAUGAGUUACAACCGUAUGAACUUAUUAUAAGUUCAACUCAGAGUCCCACUUUAGUGCACAAUAAUAUUUUAAUGUACAAAAGAUAACUUUAUGCGCAUAU
rnacentral:lncRNA from 1 species